rnacentral:rRNA from 1 species
CCUACGGGUGGCAGCAGUGGGGAAUAUUGCACAAUGGGGGAAACCCUGAUGCAGCGACGCCGCGUGAGCGAUGAAGUCUUUCGGUAUGUAAAGCUCUAUCAGCAGGGAAGAACAUGACGGUAUCUGCCUAAGACGCCCCGGCUCUCUCAGUGCCAGCAGCCGCGGUAAUACGUAGGGGGCAAGCGUUAUCCGGAUUUACGGGGUGUAAGGGGAGCGUAGACGGCGGUGCAAGCCAGAUGUGAAAGCCCGGGGCUCAACCCCGGGACUGCAUUUGGAACUGUGCUGCUAGAGUGUCGGAGAGGCAGGCGGAAUUCCUAGUGUAGCGGUGAAAUGCGUAGAUAUAAGGAGGAACACCAGUGGCGAAGGCGGCCUGCUGGACGAUGACUGACGUUGAGGCUCGAAAGCGUGGGGAGCAAACAGGAUUAGAUACCCCGGUAGUC